AUUGUAAAUCAGAAAAUGAUCCUGAAAAAAUGAAGAAAAGUACCUUUUUUUGUUUAUGGAAAUAAUUUAUUUUGCUUUUCAAUUUUUUACAAUAUUAAAAAAAUGCAAUUAAAAAGUUGUGCGAUUCUUUAAAAAUAAAAUGAUAUUCUUCUCUACUUGAAGUUUCACGAUCAUGAUGAUCUGCAAGGGUUUCACGAUCAUGAUGAUCUGCAAGGGUUUCACGAUCAUGAUGAUCUGCAAGGGUUUCACGAUCAUGAUGAUCUGCCAGGGUUUCAUGAUAAUGACGAUCUGCCAGGGUUUCAUGAUCAUGAUGAUUUGCAAGUGUUUCAUGAUAAUGAUGGUCUGCCAGGGUUUCAUGAUCAUGACGAUCUGCCAGGGGUGAAACGAGAGUUUAGCAAUUUUGUUGAUCUUCCCAGUCAACGGAUUCAGGCCUCAAAACCCAAGACAGAAACAGUGCUUGGACAUCCAGACUGUGCUUUAGUCAUACCAGGAAUGAAGACUUGCAUUACCUACACUUCUGUCAACCAGGGGUUUCUUAGAGCAAGAGAACGAGUAAUGGGAGAACGCCUAGUGUACCCGACCAGAGUAAACUUUACUAAUGCUGAGGUUGGACGUCUUGGAACAGUAAUAUACGAGACUGCUAGAGAACUUG